rnacentral:rRNA from 1 species
GACGAACGCUGGCGGCGUGCUUAACACAUGCAAGUCGAGCGAUGAAGCUCCUUCGGGAGUGGAUUAGCGGCGGACGGGUGAGUAACACGUGGGUAACCUGCCUCAUAGAGGGGAAUAGCCUUCCGAAAGGAAGAUUAAUACCGCAUAAGAUUGUAGUUCCGCAUGGAACAGCAAUUAAAGGAGUAAUCUGCUAUGAGAUGGACCCGCGUCGCAUUAGCUAGUUGGUGAGGUAACGGCUCACCAAGGCGACGAUGCGUAGCCGACCUGAGAGGGUGAUCGGCCACAUUGGGACUGAGACACGGCCCAGACUCCUACGGGAGGCAGCAGUGGGGAAUAUUGCACAAUGGGGGAAACCCUGAUGCAGCGACGCCGCGUGAGUGAUGACGGUCUUCGGAUUGUAAAACUCUGUCUUUGGGGACGAUAAUGACGGUACCCAAGGAGGAAGCCACGGCUAACUACGUGCCAGCAGCCGCGGUAACAC